GGACGAGAAGACCCUAUAGAGCUUAACAUUUAAUUUAUAUAUAUUUUUAGGUUAGUUUUUUUAUAUUUAAUGAUAAUGUUUUGUUGGGGUGACAUGAAGAAUUAAUAAACUCUUCAUUAUUAAAUCAUUAAUUUAUGUUAUUUUUGAUCCAUAAUUUAUGAUCAUAAGAUUAAGUUACCUUAGGGAUAACAGCGUAAUUGUUUUUGAGAGCUCAUAUCGACAAAGCAGAUUGCGACCUCGAUGUUGGAUUA
rnacentral:rRNA from 1 species